ensembl:lncRNA
GUUGAGAGAAGGUGGUGGUGGUUGUGAGGAGGAGGUUGUGGUGGUGGUUGAGAGAAGGUGGUGGUGGCUGAGAGGAGGGGAGGUGGUGGUGGUGGUUGAGAGGAGGUGGUGGUGGUGGUUGAGAGAAGGAGGUGGUGGUGGUUGAGAGAAGGAGGUGGUGGUGGUUGAGAGGAGGAGGUGGUGGUGGGUGAGAGGAGGAGGAGGUGGUGGUGGUGGUUGAGAGAAGGUGGUGGUGGUUGUGAGGAGGAGGUGGUGGUGGUUGAGAGGAGGAGGUUGUGGUGGUGGUUGAGAGAAGGUGGUGGUGGUUGAGAGGAGGAGGUGGUGGUGGUGGUGGUGGUUGAGAGGAGGAGGUGGUGGUGGUUGAGAGGAGGAGGUGGUGGUUGAGAUGAGGAGGUGGUGGUGGUGGUGGUUGAGAGGAGGUGGUGGUUGAGAGGAGGAGGUGGUGGUGGUGGUGGUUGAGAGGAGGUGGUGGUGGUUGAGAGGAGGUGGGGGUGGCUGAGAGGAGGUGGUGGUUGAGAGGAGGAGGUGGUGGUGGUUGAGAGGAGGAGGUGGUGGUGGUGGUGG